GAGAGGCUGAGGAGUACGUACCAAGGGACAGUUUGUGAGACUCUGCCCCUCCCUCCCCACUGCUGAUAUAACAGCAUGAAAUUAAACCUAUUCCAGUCUGUGACAUCUGAUCCCUUUGACAUGACAUAGUACAACCUGUAGAGCCAGAGGUGGGGGCCAGGAAGCCCUGUUCUAGUCUCUCUGCACAACCUUGAGCCAUCUCAUCAUCUGCACAUCUGCCUGAACCUCAGUCUCCCACUCUGGACGUUGUCGGGGUGAUGGAGCAAGCAUUCAGUUAUUCUCUGCUGGAUUCUGAUGUGGUCUAAAGUCCACACUUUGUUGUGAAACACCGCAAUCUGUGAUGUACAGAACCUAUUACUGCGGCCACCCAGGAAUGCUGGGGGCAGGCCUUUUGAGAAGGUGAAUCAGCGUGUGUUAGCUCAGGGCAGAGGGCCUGGCGGUGAGACGUGAGAACAGCCAAUGUCAUGGCGGUGGGGGAGUGGACGUGAGCCAUCUGGGGCCCAGCAAACAGCAUGUUGAAAAAAACGAGGAACUCAAAGGCAGAUGAGCCUACCACGCUGGGAACAGUUGGGAGUACAUUGCUCAAGGUGUGUGGAGUGCAUGGAACAUGUCUGUGUGUUAGAUGGCUAUAUGUAUAUGUGGUGUGUGAUAUAUGUGUAUGUAUGUGUGUUGUAUGUAUAUGUGUAUAUGUGUAUAUAUAUAGUACAUGUGUGUGAUAUAUGUGUAUGUGUGUGUGAUAUAUGUGUAUGUAUGUGUGUUGUAUGUAUAUGUGUAUAUGUAUAUGAUCAUUAUAUAUGUGUGUGUGGUAUAUAUGUAUAGGGCGGUGUGUGUAUGUGUAUGUGUGUGUGUGUGUGUGUGUGUGUGUGUGUGUUCACCUAUGUGUACAAAUGUAGAGGUCAGAAGUCAAACAUUGGGUGUCUCCUUCUAUGGAUGAAGCCCCGGCCAGUUUUAUGUCACUGCUGGUGUGAAGCAGUGAACAGUGACCCAGCAUGCAUCCAGGUGGCGGGACAGAGUCAGACUCUCCAGGGCAGAGAGACUCUAAAACUGACGGCCAGGUCUUGCUCAGACUACGGGCCUGAGGGAAGAUCCAAGACUGAAACAGGGCUUGGAAUGGAGGGGGUGGAGUUGAGGAGAUCACAGAGGACCUAGGAGUGUGUGUAUCGGAGAGAGAUAGGAAACCACUGACCGUUCAGCACACAUUCAGAAUUACUGCCUGUCCCAGGGAGGGACCCACAGCUCCGGCGCUCCGUUCAGCAUCUGGAAGAGCAUAGCUCGCUGUGAGCGGCCGCCCCAGAAGACUGUAUCCCACCCAGCCAGCUCUCCUGCCUGCUUGCCUCUGCCCCACACCAGGACACUUCAUACUGUCAGAACCACUGGGUGUGUGAGCUUGUGAGAGGGUGUGUGGGCACACAUGUCCCUGUGUGGGGUGUGGAGGUCAGAGGGCAACUUGGAGGAAUUGGUUCUCUCCUUCCACCACUGGGGCCCAGGAAUCAAGCCGAGGUUCCCAGACGUGGUAGCAGCCUCCCUUACCUGUUAAACCAGUGCUUCCCAGACUUCCUAAUGCUGUGACCUCAUGCUGUGCUGACCCCCGCCCAUGACAUUAUCUCUGUUGGUAUUUUAUAACUGUAAUUUUGCUACUAUUAUGAAUCACAAUGUAAAUGUCUGUUUUCUGA
rnacentral:lncRNA from 1 species